rnacentral:lncRNA from 1 species
UUCGUCCGAUUCAACGGCGGCGAGCUUCUCUUCGACCCAAACGUGGCCACGCAUCUCGUCGGGACGCCACCAGAGACGAAUGAACUCCUUCCGCCGCUCCCAUAGCUGCGAAGAUCCGGCUAUACCAAACACCAAGUGUUCCAGCGUCAAGAGAUCUUGACUACUACCACGCGAGAGGUUGCGACUUCCGCGGGGGAAUCCGGCGAGUGGAGGCGGCGGUUUGUACUGGACGGCGGCGGCGAUGGUGGUUGGGAAACCGUCGGGGAGGUUGCGGCGGCGGAAG